rnacentral:rRNA from 1 species
UACAGAGGUCUCAAGCGUUGUUCGGAUUCAUUGGGCGUAAAGGGUGUGUAGGUGGCCCCGUAAGUCCGCUGUGAAAGUCAAAGGCUCAACCUUUGAAAGCCGGUGGAUACUGUGGGACUAGAGUACGGAAGAGGCGAGUGGAAUUCCUGGUGUAGCGGUGGAAUGCGCAGAUAUCAGGAGGAACACCAAUAGCGAAGGCAGCUCGCUGGGACGUUACUGACACUGAGGCGCGAAAGCGUGGGGAGCGAACAGG